UACGGGAGGCAGCAGUGAGGAAUAUUGGUCAAUGGAGGCAACUCUGAACCAGCCAUGCCGCGUGCAGGAUGACUGCCCUAUGGGUUGUAAACUGCUUUUAUACAGGAAGAAACAUUCCCUCGUGAGGGAACUUGACGGUACUGUAAGAAUAAGGACCGGCUAACUCCGUGCCAGCAGCCGCGGUAAU
rnacentral:rRNA from 1 species